GAUGAAGAACGCAGCGAAAUGUGAUAAUUAAUGUGAAUUGCAGAAUUCCGUGAAUCAUCGAGUCUUUGAACGCACAUUGCGCCUCAUGGCAUUCCGUGAGGCAUGCCCAUCUCAGCGUUAGAAAAUAUUCUCAAAUUUUAGUUUUGUGCUAAAAUUUGGAUCAUGUCAAAGAAGCUAUUACUAUUAUUGUGAUCGCUCUUUGGAAAUUGAUAGGUCUUUGAGUUGCUACUCAUAGAACGUGAUGAAUCUUUCUUCGUUCUAUUGUAAUUCACUCUGGUAGUCCUAAAACUUGUAUGCCUGUGGCAUAUCUUGUAAUUUGACCUGAGAUUGGGUAGGGAUACCCGCUGAACUUAAGCAUAUCAAUAAGCGGAGGA
rnacentral:misc_RNA from 1 species